rnacentral:rRNA from 1 species
CAGCCGCCACGGUAAUACGUAGGUGGCAAGCGUUGUCCGGAAUUAUUGGGCGUAAAGAGCUCGUAGGCGGUUAGUCACGUCGGCUGUGAAAACCUGGGGCUCAACCCCGGGCCUGCAGCCGAUACGGGCUGACUAGAAUUCGGCAGGGGAGACUGGAAUUCCUGGUGUAGCGGUGAAAUGCGCAGAUAUCAGGAGGAACACCGGUGUCGAAGGCGGGUCUCUGGGCCGAUAUUGACGCUGAGGAGCGAAAGCGUGGGGAGCAAACAGGAUUAGAUACCCGAGUAGUCCCUGUCUCUUAUAC